GUCCCUGUAGCAUAAUGGAUAGUACGUUGGACUUUUAAUCCAAAGGUCGUAGGUUCGAAUCUUAUCUGGGAUG